AUUGAACGCUUGCGGCAGGCCUAACACAUGCAAGUCGAGCGAGCGGCGGACGUUUGAGUAAUGUAUGGGGACUUCCUGAUAGUGGGGGAUAACUACUGGAAACGGUUGCUAAUACCGCAUACUAUCGGAUAUCCCCUAUGGGAUUAGCUAGUAGGUUGGGUAAAGGCUCACCUAGGCGACGAUCUCUAGCUGGUCUGACAGGAUGAUCAGCCACACUGGGACUGAGACACGGCCCAGACUCGUACGGAGGCAGCAGUGGGGAAUAUUGCACAAUGGGCGCAAGCCUGAUGCAGCCAUGCCGCGUGUAUGAAGAAGGCCUUAGGGUUGUAAAGUACUUUCAGCGGGGAGGCGAGAAACGAAGAAGAAGCACCGGCUAACUCCGUGCCAGCAGACGCGGUAAGAG
rnacentral:rRNA from 1 species